UUCACGAACUCACCUCACGCUCUUUCUUUCUUUCACUGCACUGACCAGGAAAAAAAACACCCAGAAAGACGGAAAUAGGAGUGAAAGAGAGAUUCUACGGUUACCGUCACAGACUGCUGCUGCCAACAUCACACACCAUACACGCUGCUGCUUCCUUCUUACAUACACAUAUAGACUAGAGAGAGAGAGCAAUUCACGAGGAUGGUGAGGAUAAUUCCCAUGGCGUCCUCAAUACGACCUUCCCUCUCGUCGUUUAGGUUCUCCGGUGGUGUUUCCACUUCCCGCUUUGGCCUUUCCCUUUCACCCCUUCGCCUUCCUCCUCGCCUCCAUUUCUCUCAUCUUACCAGCACUGUUCCUCAGUCACAUUUCUUUGGUUUGAAAGCUUCAAAGCUUUUGAAAACUGCGGGAACCAGGGUAGUGAUGCGUCCGGUCGGAAAUGUGGUACACGCAAGCACGGCUACUGCCCAGGAAACUGCUCUAGAGUGGGUUAAAAAGGACAAAAGAAGAAUGCUCCAUGUCGUUUAUCGAGUCGGGGAUUUAGACAGGACCAUCAAAUUCUACACCGAGUGCUUGGGAAUGAAACUGUUGAGGAAACGAGACAUACCAGAGGAGAGAUACACCAAUGCUUUUCUUGGAUACGGGCCAGAAGAUUCUCACUUUGUUAUUGAACUAACUUACAAUUAUGGAGUUGACAAGUAUGAUAUUGGAACUGCAUUUGGUCAUUUUGGUAUUGCUGUUGAGGACGUUGCCAAGGCUGUGGAGCUUAUAAAGGCUAAGGGUGGAAAAGUAACCAGAGAACCUGGUCCAGUGAAAGGUGGUUCCACCGUAAUUGCAUUUAUUGAGGACCCUGAUGGUUACAAGUUUGAACUGAUUGAAAGGGGGCCUACUCCUGAACCUUUGUGCCAAGUAAUGCUCCGUGUCGGUGAUCUUGAUCGCUCCAUAACUUUUUAUGAGAAGGCCUUCGGCAUGGAGCUUCUUCGCACACGAGAUAAUCCAGAGUACAAGUAUACAAUAGCCAUGAUGGGUUACGGGCCUGAAGAUAAAAAUGCUGUGCUUGAGUUGACAUACAACUAUGGGGUCACAGAAUAUGAUAAAGGAAAUGGCUAUGCUCAGAUUGCAAUUGGCACAGAUGAUGUUUACAAAACUGCAGAGGGAAUUAAACUUUUUGGUGGAAAAAUCAUGCGUGAACCUGGACCAUUACCUGGAAUUAACACCAAGAUCACAGCAUGCUUAGAUCCUGAUGGUUGGAAGACGGUUUUUGUUGAUAAUAUUGAUUUCCUCAAGGAAUUGGAGUGAGGUUUAGAGACAUUCUGAUAUGAUCCUUUUGACACGGCAAUCCAAAUCCGAGCUGCAAGGAUUUGUGGAAGAACUCCACCAAUCCCGUUUUGUAGAUGAGUCUUCUACAGUGACAAUUGCAUAGCUUCGUGGAAGUGAAGAAACACCGAGAUGUCAGUUACAAUUUUAAUUAUAUUUUCCUUUUUUUUUUUUUUGUUUCAAUCAAAUUCACUCUCUAUGUAGGAGAGAGAAGAAUGGCACAGCAAACAUACCUGCUUAUCUUAUGUGUUUGAGGUUGAGGCCAUUCUACGAAAUCAAGGUAAUCAGAAAGUAUCUUAAAAGUCAGCAUAUAUCGCAUUUCUAUAGAUACUAGCACAUACAAAUAUCUAUUGAUUUUGUGAAAAAUAUUUUAUAUAUGUACAUUAUUGACAUUAAAUACAUUUAUAAAUAUAAAAUACUAAUCAAUUA